UUUAACUGAAGAGUUUGAUCAUGGCUCAGAUUGAACGCUGGCGGCAGGCUUAACACAUGCAAGUCGAGCGGGGGAAGGUAGCUUGCUACUGGACCUAGCGGCGGACGGGUGAGUAAUGCUUAGGAAUCUGCCUAUUAGUGGGGGACAACAUCUCGAAAGGGAUGCUAAUACCGCAUACGUCCUACGGGAGAAAGCAGGGGAUCUUCGGACCUUGCGCUAAUAGAUGAGCCUAAGUCGGAUUAGCUAGUUGGUGGGGUAAAGGCCUACCAAGGCGACGAUCUGUAGCGGGUCUGAGAGGAUGAUCCGCCACACUGGGACUGAGACACGGCCCAGAC
rnacentral:rRNA from 1 species